GACGUAGGGCGCGAGCGUUGUCCGGAUUUAUUGGGCGUAAAGAGCUCGUAGGCGGCUUGUUGCGUCAGCUGUGAAAACCCGCAGCUCAACUGUGGGCUUGCAGCUGAUACGGGCAGGCUUGAGUUCGGUAGGGGAGACUGGAAUUCCUGGUGUAGCGGUGAAAUGCGCAGAUAUCAGGAAGAACACCGAUGGCGAAGGCAGGUCUCUGGGCCAUAACUGACGCUGAGAAGCGAAAGCAUGGGGAGCGAACAGG
rnacentral:rRNA from 1 species